rnacentral:lncRNA from 1 species
UCUCCACUCGGCCGAACCCUAGGUUCUCACUUUUCAAGCACCAAACCGCCAUAAAAAACGGCGUCUGGCGCGUCUUGCUCCGAUUUACUGCUCUUUGGCCUCAAAAUCCUCCCCUUUUAACUUCGAUUUCGACAAAGCAAGGGAGGAUCGUCGGCCAAAUCACACGGUAUAGCCCCUUUUUCUCUCUUUUUGUUUCUUUAAAAAAAACAAUGCCGAAAGAUUUGAGUAAAAAUCAGUAAGAAAAAGAAAAAAAGAUUAUAGAAGUCGAAAGUGGGAAUCACCUUCUAUUUUUGAUUGCUUUCUAUUGUCUCCGUAUGCGUAACCCUUUACAAAGAUUAAAAUUAUGGCUUUAUAGUCGAAAAUGGUAGAAAUAAAUAAAUAAAAAGUACAAAAUUCUUUCUUUUUUCGCAUUGGGCAUGUGCUGCUGUUGUUUUGUCUGUUUGUAGGUACGGAGUGCGCGUUGGCGUGUGUACGGGAGCCGUGUUGGCGUACGGAGGCUUGGCGUGGUUGCUGGAGGCGUUGUACGGUGCCUGGAGGCUGCAGGGGUUGCUGCGGCGCAAGCAGAAGCUGCUAGGGUUUCUUGGUUUAGGCAUUAGCCUUAUUAGGCCUUUUUUUGGGUGUUGGGUCAUUGGCUUGGGCUUGUAUAGGGUAUUAGUUUGUAAAAGGACAUUAAAUGGACUGUGGGUUAUUUAUUUAUUUUAUAUUUUUUUUGGGUUUCUAAUGGGCUGGACAAAUUGGCCUGUUUACAGACUGCUGACUUUUUUUGCAUUGAUCCAGCCUAGUUACGUAGUUGAUCAA